GCCGCCAUCUUGUACGGAUUGAAAAAAUUCCCUCUCACUGAUUGCGGGCGCCGCCAUCUUGGGUACGGCGGCUCAGCCAAUCAGCGCCCGAGCGUCCCGUUGCCAUAGCGACAGGGGGCGGGGCCAAGGGCCGGCAGCCGCCGAGGGAUUUGGGGGCGAUUUUGGGCUCCGGGACCCCCAAAUGGCCGCUGGAGACCCCGGUCGGGCCCGGCCCCAGAACGACCCCGGGACCCCCCGAGACCCCCGGCAGGAGCAGCUCAGGGCUCUCCGGGGCUCUCUGGGGCGGCUGCGGCUGCGGGGGGAGGAGGCGCAGAGGAUGGAACGGCUCUACCGGAACCUGAGGGGCGCCGCACAG